rnacentral:rRNA from 1 species
UACGGGGGGGGCAAGCGUUGUUCGGAAUUACUGGGCGUAAAGGGCGCGUAGGCGGCCUUCUAAGUCGGACGUGAAAUCCCUCGGCUUAACCGAGGAACUGCGUCCGAUACUGAAAGGCUUGAAUCCGGGAGAGGGAUGUGGAAUUCCAGGUGUAGCGGUGAAAUGCGUAGAUAUCUGGAGGAACACCGGUGGCGAAGGCGGCAUCCUGGACCGGUAUUGGACGCUGAGGCGCGAAAGCUAGGGGAGCAAACGGGG